rnacentral:rRNA from 1 species
GACGAACGCUGGCGGCGUGCUUAACACAUGCAAGUCGAACGGAAAGGCCCUGCUUUUGUGGGGUGCUCGAGUGGCGAACUGGUGAGUAACACGUGAGUAACCUGCCCUUGCCUUUGGGAUAACUUCAGGAAACUGGGGCUCAUACCGGAUAGGAGCUCCUGCUUCUUGGUGGGGGUUGGAAAGUUUCGGCGGUUGGGGAUGGACUCGCGGCUUAUCAGCUUGUUGGUGGGGUAGUGGCUUACCAAGGCUUUGACGGGUAGCCGGCCUGAGAGGGUGACCGGCAACAUUGGGACUGAGAUACGGCCCAGACUCCUACGGGAGGCAGCAGUGGGGAAGAGUGCACAAUGGGAGGAAGCCUGAUGCAGCAACGCCGCGUGCGGGAUGACGGCCUUCGGGUUGUAAACCGCUUUCGCCUGUGACGAAGCGUGAGUGACGGUAAUGGGUAAAGAAGCACCGGCUAACUACGUG